rnacentral:rRNA from 1 species
CCUACGGGAGGCAGCAGUGAGGAAUAUUGGUCAAUGGGCGGAAGCCUGAACCAGCCAAGUAGCGUGCAGGAUGACGGCCCUACGGGUUGUAAACUGCUUUUAUACGGGAAUAACGCGCCUUACGUGUAGGGCUUUGCAUGGACCGUAUGAAUAAGGACCGGCCAAUUCCGUGCCAGCAGCCGCGGUUAUCCGGAGGGUCCGGGCGUUAUCCGGAUUUAUUGGGUUUAAAGGGAGCGUAGGCCGCAAGCCAAGCGCGCCGUGAAAUGUCCGGGCUCAACCCGGGCAUUGCAGCGCGAACUGGCGUGCUUGAGUCCGCGGAAGGCAGGCGGAAUUCGUGGUGUAGCGGUGAAAUGCUUAGAUAUGACGAAGAACCCCGAUGGCGAAGGCAGCUUGCUGGAGCGGAACUGACGCUGAGGCUCGAAAGCGCGGGUAUCGAACAGGAUUAGUUACCCUGGUAGUC